rnacentral:rRNA from 1 species
UACGUAGGUGGCAAGCGUUGUCCGGAUUUACUGGGCGUAAAGGGCGUGCAGGCGGUUUGUUUAGUCUAGGGUGAAAGCUCCCGGCUUAACUGGGAGAGGUCCUUGGAUACUGGCAAACUUGAGGGAGGCAGAGGAAAGUGGCAUUCCCGGUGUAGUGGUGAUAUGCGUAGAUAUCCGGAGGAACACCGGUGGCGAAGGCGGCUUCCUGGACCGAUACUGACGCUGAGGCGCGUAAGCUAGGGGAGCAAACGGG